UCAAUGUGGCAUAGUGGUUUGAGCAUUGGACUACAACUCUAGAGACCAGGGUUCGAUUCCCAGCUUGAC